rnacentral:tRNA from 1 species
GGAAGGGUGGCCGAGCGGUCGAUGGCGGCGGUCCUGAAAACCGCUGGGACGCAAGUUCCCGUGGGUUCGAAUCCCACCCCUUCCGCCA